GCCAGAACCUGGUGGGUUUAAAAAUGAAAGGAAUAAUCAUCUCAUGAACAGGAGCCUUGAGCUUCAUAGAAAGAUGAGGGAGGCAGCUGCUCUCAUCUCCUUCUGCAUCCUGAACCAGGCACAAGGGAGGCGGCUGCCUCACUUUGCUGCCAUAACUUCCCCGCCAUGAUCGACUGUCCCCUCCAAGAGGCUUCUGGUCAAGUAUUUUGUGAAAGAAAUGCAAGAAGCAAUCUGGAAAUAUGCUUCCAAAUGGGUAAAAAUAAACAAAGAUUCAGACAUCUCAGCAAAACUGGAAGCCAAGGAAUCAAAAGAAACCUUGGGACAAUUGGAAAAGCUUGAUCCCUGUAAGAAGCAAGCCCAUGUGUGUGCCCCAGUAGGAGUGGGGCAGAGACCAAAGGGCUUUGACCCUGCGGCCCCCGCAUCACAGGUGUUCCGAGCAUCUGUGGACCGAACUGAAGCUGGAAGGAAGCAGAACUUACCCAUCAAAGCUCUUCCCAUCACCGCCAUUUAUUAAAGAGAGGCAGUAAACAAA
rnacentral:lncRNA from 1 species